CUCGUUUAUAUUUAAAAAGUAUCUACCAGGAUUAUUCACAAUUCCACACAUCAUGUUAUAGAAUUAUUCGCACGAAUCCAGUUUUAAUCCACUUCUCAAAACGUAACUAACACAAAAAGUUCCUCGUUUUCUAUUUAAAGUGUAUCUACUAGGAUCAUUCACAAUUCCACACAUAACGUUAUAGAAUUACACGCACGAAUUAUGAUUCGCUCUUAAAAUUAGUGGUGAACGAGUCUAUCUAAUCAACGCACACGUUCUGAUGAAUCAUCUCCUGAAAAAUCAAUGUAACAUAUGAGAAAGCAAUUGUGCAUUUUGGGAAUUUGAUGGAUAAAUUUGAUAUUUUAGACGCCCCCAUUCAUGUAGCCUGGCCAUCGAAGAAUAACACUUUUUAUACUCUGAUUGCAACUGGAUCAGAUCCCCC